UACGUAGGGGGCAAGCGUUAUCCGGAUUUACUGGGUGUAAAGGGAGCGUAGACGGUAGUGCAAGUCUGGAGUGAAAGGCGGGGGCCCAACCCCCGGACUGCUCUGGAAACUGUGCGACUAGAGUGCAGGAGAGGUGAGUGGAAUUCCUAGUGUAGCGGUGAAAUGCGUAGAUAUUAGGAGGAACACCAGUGGCGAAGGCGGCUUACUGGACUGUAACUGACACUGAGGCUCGAAAGCGUGGGGAGCAAACAGG
rnacentral:rRNA from 1 species